rnacentral:rRNA from 1 species
CAGCACCUCAAGUGGUCAGGAUGAUUAUUUGGCCUAAAGCGUCCGUAGCCGGCCGGGUAAGUUUCCCGUUAAAUCCAACGUCUCAAGCGUUGGACUGCGGGAAAUACUGCCAGGCUAGAGAGUGGGAGAGGUCAGCGGUAUUCUGGGGGUAGGGGCGAAAUCCUUUGAUCCCCGGAGGACCACCAGUGGCGAAGGCUGCUGACUAGAACACGUCUGACGGUCAGGGACGAAAGCUGGGGUAGUGAACCGGAUUAGAGACCCGAGUAGUCC